UAGAAAGUUUGAGACAAUCAAAGAAAGAAAAAAAAAGAAGAAGAACAGAAGUCCUCAGAAAAUGUAGAUGAGAGCGGAAAUGUAAGACAAUCGAAGAGCAGGAAAAAAGAACAAGAACAGGUGAAGUUGACUAUCAAAUUAAACAUGUUAAAUACUUUAACCGAGACUCUUGUCGAUAAAGAAUCAACCAAAAAGGCUGUAUGCCGAAAAAUGAAAGUGAUAUCUGCCCCAAAAAAGGGUGACAUUGAAAAAAC